CCACUCUAAUUUAGACUCUGGUUUCCAGCAUCUGCAGUCCUUGUUUUUACCUAUUUGACAAAUCAGUCAUUUUGUGAUUUUCAGUAACAAAUAGAUUUGUGGCCCAUUCAUAUGUAAAUGGAGCAACAUCAUGAAAACCUUGGGUGAAAUGAAGCAUAAAAUGCCAUGUUCAUGAGGCUAAAGCUGGAAUGGGGCAAAUCAUGAGGAACUUUGUAGCAAUUUGCCACGCAGUGUCUGCACAUCACCACCAGAUACCAGCCAAUUUGCACAUUAAUCAAAGGGAGGGUCAUUCAGACAACAUUAUUUGUACAGUAAAACCUGCACUCACAAUAUUUUUCUAUUUUCCACUCAGCCUGCCCUCUCUGUUUCCCCAAGGAGAGCAAUUUCCUGAAAGUAUUCGGGAUGAAACACAACUCACUCCUUCCCUCACACACUGACUGGGUGAAGAUGUAAAAUGUUCUGGGAUGAAGUUCAUGUUCCUGAUUAAGGACGGGGGUUCCUCACACCUGUCUCGUACUUUAUCUGAUGGUGAAUAAAGUGCUGCCACUCUCUCUCUCUACUCUCCCUCUAACAGGAGAAAACCGAACACAACCAAAGACAAAGAAGUGACAUCGUGGGAGGAGCUACGACCCUCUGGCCCCUCCCCCCUUUCUGAGGAGGGUUCUCUGGAAUCACUGGGCAGUCAGACGGGGAAAGCAGUGAGAGGCACAGAAGGAGGAUGGGAGGAGCCCGCUCCAGGCCUUCUAAUUUCAUUCACAAACCCACCUGGGGCGUUAUCAAAAGGGAGCUGAAAAUCCAAAUACACCACACCCACUGAUUCCCCUGGAUCAAUGCUAAAAGAAUGCUUUCAGAAUCUACAGAAGUUUGAAAGAUAAUCACCAAUUCAUUCAGUAUCCGUCUGGGCAUCAGUUUUAGUGCUCUGGGAUGAAGCUAACCUGGUCCAGGAAACUUACCAGCCUUCAAUCAACUUAAACAGUUAAUGCUAGAAAAGUUAUGAAUGCUUAUUUCUUUCAGUUGCUCAGUUCCAUACUCUCUUGGUCAGUUUGUAUUUCUGGGAGAUUUUUUUGUGUCUUCUACAAAGGCUGACACAGUAACUAUUUAGUUUCUCUACCUUGUUCUCCAGACUCCAACUGCAAUAUGCCUACAUUUGUUGGAGUAGGUUUUUUUUGGUGGAUUUGUUUCACUCAAAUCAGAGUUUCUCAGCUUCCCAUUCACUUUAAUGUGGUUUUGAAAGCCCCAGCAGCACGAGCAAACUUCCUUGCAAAGAUGUUCGUCUUCUCCAUGCUCUCCCUCUCUCCACAAGAUUCUCCAGGCGCAAGCUCCAUUUUCCUAAUUCUGUGCUGACUCUCAGAUGAGACGGAAGGAAUUCUGAAGUUACUGCACGAGGGAUCCAGCUUUUCAAUCUCGUUUCCAGCUCCCUGAAAUUUGCUGUUCCGACCCAAGUCACAUGCACCACAACCUCCACCAGUUCAGCUUCUCCCACAAGAAUGUCCUGCAAUCACUAGUGACACUGUUGGCCCUGGUACUAGGGAGUAACACUGAAAUGCCAGUCCCCUUAGCAAAUGAAUCCUCUCUCAUUCUCUCCUCUUGUCCAGCAGAACCACCAUAGUGCCAUGAACUUGGCUCUGACUGCUCUCAUAAAGGAAGCACUGCCCUCACCAAUAUCCAAACUAGAAAAUUAAUUACGGUUCUCUUCCUGGUUCUCUGGGACUGUUUGACAGUCGCCGAUGUCCUUCUGUCUACAAAAUCCUAGCCUGCAGUUUGACUACCUCUGUGAACAUGCUAUCCACCUUGAGCUCAGUCCUGCAGAUGCACAUAGUGACUCUAGCUGCCAAUCCAAACUGCAAAGCCCAGAGCUCCGGUUUCUGUGGCUGGUUACAUUACCUGCAUUUGUGGUUGGUCAUGUCACUGAUAGCGUCCAUGACUUCUCACAUACAACAGGACACACAUACCAUGUGACCGAGCUGCCUUACCAUCCCAAGCUAAACAGCUUCUGCAUCUUCUUCCUCGAGAAUACAACCAAUCAGUGCAACACAUUACACUUGCUCAUUGUUGUUUGUAAAGAAAGUAUACUGGCAGGCAUACAGCUCCUGUACCCUAUUAAACUCUCCUCUUCUUCAGUCCUUCAACACAAAAGGAGUAUCUCCAACAGCGAGGCCCUGGGUUUGGGCUUUAACCAAGCCUCAGUUCACUUGAUCCAUCACGACACUUGAGCCUCACAAACAACAGUUUGGAACCACUCCUUUGGGAGGGCUUAGGAGAAUGAAGGAAGGUGAUUCAUAGGCUGGUGAAGAGGAACUUGUCGUGUGGAAGUAGACAUUUGGUUGCUACUUGCUAGAAAGAGAGAGAAAGGCUAUGAUUAUCCUCAAGUGCGAUAGCAAUGAACCUAUAUGUAAUGGGUCCAUCAAUAAGAGGGAUGACUGACAUUCAUCUCGUUGCUCACGUAAGACCUUUUGUUGAAAUUGGCCAUUACAACCAGCUAUAUUUAAAACAAUGAUUUCAUUUUAAUAGUCAAUGAAAAAUUAAGUGUGUUAGGAGGCUCUGAACAUUUCUAAGGAUUAUUUAAGAUUCUGGAAUUAAGUUUGCUCACUGAGCUGGAAGGUUUGUUUUCACAUGUUUCAUCACCUAACUAGGUAACAUCAUCAGUGAGC